rnacentral:rRNA from 1 species
GAGGAAAAGAAACUAACAAGGAUUCCCCUAGUAACUGCGAGUGAAGCGGGAAAAGCUCAAAUUUAAAAUCUGGUGGUCUUUGGCCGUCCGAGUUGUAAUCUAGAGAAGUGUUAUCCGCGCUGGACCGUGUACAAGUCUCCUGGAAUGGAGCGUCAUAGAGGGUGAGAAUCCCGUCUUUGACACGGACUGCCAGGGCUUUGUGAUGCGCUCUCAAAGAGUCGAGUUGUUUGGGAAUGCAGCUCAAAAUGGGUGGUAAAUUCCAUCUAAAGCUAAAUAUUGGCGAGAGACCGAUAGCGAACAAGUACCGUGAGGGAAAGAUGAAAAGAACUUUGGAAAGAGAGUUAAACAGUACGUGAAAUUGCUGAAAGGGAAACGCUUGAAGUCAGUCGCGUUGGCCGGGGAUCAACCUUGCUUUUGCUGGGUGUACUUUCCGGUCGACGGGUCAGCAUCAAUUUUGACCGUUGGAUAAAGUGUGAGGGAAUGUGGCAUCCUCGGAUGUGUUAUAGCCCUCGCUCGCAUACAACGAUUGGGAUUGAGGAACUCAGCACGCCGAAAGGCCGGGUACUUGUACCACGUUCGUGCUUAGGAUGCUGGCAUAAUGGCUUUAAUCGACCCGUCUU